GGAUAUAUGGUGUAUUAAUUUCAAAUGUUUUUUUAUUUUUGGAUUUUAAUUUAAAAUCACUUCCUGAAUUGACUUCUUUCAAUUCUAAUUAACCCCAGCCCUUAGGGUCACUGUGGCUGUAAGGAGGAUGAGACACACAGCCCCAGUGUGUGUUUGUGUGUGUGUAUGAACCGGCUCCGCUCCUCAGUACUACAACAGGAGCCAUCAGAGAAAACAAGGUGACAGAUGAAAGGAUAAGGAAAGAAUGGGAGUGUUUCACUGCUCUGAUGCAAGCCUCACCUCAUUUAACACAUUUCGUUACACAGAGAGGCAGCUGUGGCCUACGGAGAGAGAGAGAAUAGAUGUUUCCCUCUGGCCAGGAGAACAAGUAGGGAGACAGGUUUCCCUUGUAUCAACAUUGAGGAUCCAUUGACAGGUCAAUAUGUCUCAGAGUAACAUGUUAAAGACACAUUUAAUAUUUGCGGUAAAUGUUUGAUGACCCUUGGUCGAGUGUGAUGGAGUGACUCUAACAUUCCCUGAGAGAGAGGUAAGGCCAUCCGUUCAUUCACACCAGAUAAAUGCCCAGAUUUUCCUCAUACAUUCAGUAGACUAGGGAGUGGAGCACUGGGAUGGAAUCUGGUACUGUUAUCUCAUCCAGUAGACCCAGCCUAUGGACACUACUGAGUAUCAACCAGCUCUUUUUAAAUGUUCUGUGUAAAGAACAGAAUGUAUUCUAUGAAGGAAAAUAUACUCCAUGAGAGCAUCUUGUGACCGCGCCCUUCCAAUAACCAAUAGUCUUAUAGCUAUUUCCUAUUUACCAUGUUACACUCUCAAGCAUGUCUGAACCCAGCAGGUUUAAUGGACGGGGGUUAUGAUGACAGAAGAAAACCUGCUCUUUGUGGAAAUACAAGUUGUGUCUUGACAUGUUAUCCCAAUCAAUGUUCUUAAAUCCAGGUCCUCAAUCACAGCUAAGAGCCUCCAGGUAGAAGAACCGGUUCAACGAGCCAUGAUGGGAGACAUAGUUUGCUUUUACUGAGGAAAAUACAUCAGCCCCACCCUGGAUCUAGUUCAGCCUCUGGCUCUGCAUCAGCAGGAGGGUUUGUCUGGGUUUCUCCUGCCGUGCCUCUCUCUCUCUAGGGCAGUGGUCACCAACCGGUAGAUCGCGAUCGACUGGUCGAACUACAAGCUAUUCCUAGUCGAUCACUAGAAAUUGAUCAAGUGAGAUAUCCAAACUUUUAAAACCAUUAAAACUAGAGACUCAAAGAAUGCAGCUGCUGUUUUUAUGAGAGUAACAACAUGAAUUGGUGCACGAAGCAGAAGUAAUGCCGUGCAACUUAAGUUUCGUCAUCAGCUGGAAGACUGUGUCCCCUUUUCUCAACGGAGGGCAGGAGUGAAGAGGGGUGAUGGUGACCGGCAGACUGUCCCUGGAGAGAACAUUACGAAACGGACAAACGUGAAAACUACUCAUGAGGACCUGAGCCCUAGGACCAUGCCCCAGGACUACCUGACAUGAUGACUCCUUGCUG